rnacentral:rRNA from 1 species
AGAACGAACGCUGGCGGCAUGCCUAAUACAUGCAAGUCGAACGAACUCUUCGGAGUUAGUGGCGCACGGGUGCGUAACGCGUGGGAAUCUGCCCCUUGGUUCGGAAUAACAGUUGGAAACGACUGCUAAUACCGGAUGAUGACGAAAGUCCAAAGAUUUAUCGCCAAGGGAUGAGCCCGCGUAGGAUUAGCUAGUUGGUGAGGUAAAGGCUCACCAAGGCAACGAUCCUUAGCUGGUCUGAGAGGAUGAUCAGCCACACUGGGACUGAGACACGGCCCAGACUCCUACGGGAGGCAGCAGUAGGGAAUAUUGGACAAUGGGCGAAAGCCUGAUCCAGCAAUGCCGCGUGAGUGAUGAAGCCUUAGGCUGUAAAGCUAGUUUUACCCGAGAUGAUAAUGACAGUAUCGGAAGAUAAGCCCGCUAACUCCGCGACCAGCAGCCGAC